AAGUUGCUUGCAACUUAGAGACCGGCGCACGGGUGCGUAACGCGUAUGCAAUCUACCUUGUACAGGGGAAUAGCCCAGGGAAACUUGGAUUAAUGCCCCAUAGUAUUAUGAAAUAGCAUUAUUUUAUAAUUAAAGAUUUAUCGGUACGAGAUGAGCAUGCGUCCCAUUAGCUAGUUGGUAUGGUAACGGCAUACCAAGGCUACGAUGGGUAGGGGCCCUGAGAGGGGGAUCCCCCACACUGGUACUGAGACACGGACCAGACUCCUACGGGAGGCAGCAGUGAGGAAUAUUGGACAAUGGGCGAAAGCCUGAUCCAGCCAUGCCGCGUGCAGGAAGACUGCCCUAUGGGUUGUAAACUGCUUUUGUACGGGAAGAAACACCCCCACGUGUGGGGGCUUGACGGUACCGUAAGAGUAAGCAUCGGCUAACUCCGUGCCAGCAGCCGCGGUAAUACGGAGGAUGCAAGCGUUAUCCGGAAUCAUUGGGUUUAAAGGGUCCGUAGGCGGACAAUUAAGUCAGGGGUGAAAGUCUGCAGCUCAACUGUAGGACUGCCCUUGAUACUGGUUGUCUUGAAUCGUUGUGAAGUGAUUAGAAUGAGCAGUGUAGCGGUGAAAUGCAUAGAUAUUGCUCAGAAUACCAAUUGCGAAGGCAGAUCACUAACAACGUAUUGACGCUGAGGGACGAAAGCGUGGGGAGCGAACAGGAUUAGAUACCCUGGUAGCCCACGCCGUAAACGAUGGAUACUAGCUGUCCGACCUUCGGGUUGGGUGGCCAAGCGAAAGUGAUAAGUAUCCCACCUGG
rnacentral:rRNA from 1 species